rnacentral:tRNA from 1 species
AUCUAGAUAGCUCAGUCAGGAGAGCGUUAGACUAGAUGUCUAAGAGUCCCAGGUUCAAUUCUGAGUUUGGGUG